GUUAGGUUACAGACAAGUUUUCCUCCUUGCUUCUGGUGUUUCAGUACUUGCAUUGGCUGCUUCACUCUUCCACCUGGAUAUGGAUAUGGACCCGAAAACAGGAAGCUAUGAGACAGUGAUAGAGCUGAUCCCACUUGUCUUGGUGUUUGUUCUUCUUCUAAUAACUUUUUGUCCUCUGAACAUUUUAUAUCGUUCAAGUCGUUUCUUCUUUCUAAGAACUGCCUGGCACUGCCUAUGCG
rnacentral:misc_RNA from 1 species